CCUAGAAAAGACAAAAAAAAAAAAAUCCUUCUAGCAUUUUUGCUAAUCUUUCUCAUGCUAUCAAUAUCAUAUAAAGAUAAUGAUUAACAGGAGUUUAGAGUGUUAAAGAGAAGAAGGUCAAAAGCAAAGUUGGGUGAUACCUCCACUUAAAGGACCAGCAGGAGGAAGAGAAGCCAGCAAACGGGUGGGUGGCGUGACCUGAGAAGGGGCGGGGGACCCCGCCGGCUCAGUGCUGCCUCCUAAGCCAUGGAAGGAGAGAGGUCAGUACUACGAGCCAGCAGCAGACAAACGCGACGUGGCCUUGCCUUCGUGGAGGGUGCAGUGUGGGAGCAGAAGAAGGUCCUUUCGUUUGGUUUGUGUUUUUAAUGAGGCAGACCUCAGCUUACCUAGAGACUGAACUUUCCAUCAGAGUCUCUUCUUUUUCCUCCCAGUUGUAACAGAGGAACUGAGCCUUAUCCCUUCAAAACCCCUUCUCUUCCAGUUUGGGAUUCAUCCCUUCUUAGCGACUCCCUCUCCCUCCUGCAUCACUCAUCUCUCUCUCCCUCUACCCCAUGAUUCCAUUCAGCACAGGCAUCUGCUCAAGAAUUUCUCACCUUCAGAAACCCUUUCAUUGACUCCCAUUCCCCUCUCCAGCUACUGCUCUAUUCCUUUGGGCUCCUUCAUAGCAAAACUUCUUGAAAAGAAAAACCCUCUCCCCAUGAGGUAGCCGCAGCUGGAAACAGCAUGGAUGUGUUUGCAACAGUGGUGGGUGUCACAGCAGAGAGCCGAUAAGCGAGGAAGAACACUUUCCAGAGGGGGAGGCACCGCGAUCCAAGCCCUCGGCAAAGAUUUUGCUGGCAGGUGGCUGUGCCCUGGCAAAGAUUUUGCUGGCAGGUGGCUGUGCCCUAGCAAAGCGGGAACUGAUCUCCCCUCGGAUGACCUGUGCUGAGUCCUGGUUUUACCAUUCUCUAGCUGAUGUGACCCUAAUCAAGUCACUUAACUUCUUUGAGCCUCGUUUCCUCACCCAGCCAGUGGAAACAGAGAUGCUGCUCUCCUGAGUGUGUCGGGAUCUUGAAAUAGAACACCCGAAAGUGUGAGACAGAGGCCAGGAAGUGUUGCCAUACAGGAAGACAUCUCCCCUCCAUUUGAAAGGAUGGGGUUCGUCCCAGUCUGAGUCUGGGGCCUUUCCAAAUCGGAGCCUGACCCACAGGCUUGCAUGCGUGACACCUCUGCUGUGCACUUGGGAAUGUGAUCCUGGGGAGCCGGGCUGGGAAGAGGCAAAGUGGAAGAGGGAGGCGGGGCCAGAAGGCUGGCACAAGUGUGGGCUGGUCAGGGCUCAGUGGGUCAGGGCGGUGGGUCACUGGACCUCAAUCUCACAACCUUCUGAGGAGCCUUAGAAAUAAGGGGGGGCAUCCAUCCAAAGAUUCCCAUCUCUGUUGAUCAAGGGUGGCCCACUGGCAUAGACUCCCCAUCUCUUCAGGGCUGCACACAUGUGAGUGCCAAGUGGACACCUCCCCUGUUCCCCGGCCCCCAGAGGAAGCGAGAGCAGAAGGUGCAGGAGGGGGAAAGGCCAUGUCAGGUAGUACCUUUGACAUUUACCCAAAAUGAGUUCUUGCAGCAGUGGCUGGAGUAAGAGAUGGGAGCAGGAAGACUUGAAAUGGUGCAGAAGAUACAACCCCAUCCGUCAGGAGUGAAAACAAAGAAGAGGAUGGCAUGACUUGGCUUUAGUGUUGACAGCAGGAAGGUUACUGAUGACGUCAGAAGAGCUGACGGAGGAGCCUGGGCCAGAACCGGACUGGGUGUGUUGAGAAGUGGCUGAGGGAACCCUCCUGCACUGCUGGUGGGAAUGUAAACUGGUACAGCCACUAUGGAGAACAGUUUGGA